ensembl:misc_RNA 7SK 7SK RNA
GAAUUUGAGGGUGACCUGGCUGUGACAAGCCACCCCACUGAUCACCAGUGUUUUUUCAACUGAUCUUACUGGCUUGUUGGGUGCCCCCUUCCCCUCCACAGUUCUGUGUCUGUCCUUCCUGAGGCAGAAUGCUAGGUCAAAAAGGACAUUUUAAAAAAUAUUACAGAACUGCCCAUGUUGAUUUCUGUUUAGAUAAGUAACAAAUUUCUAGAUUUUCUGAACCUACUGGAACGGAAAAAAAAUGGCACUUGAAAAUUAAUAAUGGGAAUAAGACAUCCUUUUCUUUAGAGCUCCUAUGUUUUGUAA